rnacentral:rRNA from 1 species
CAACUUUUAACGGUGGAUCUCUUGGCUCGUGCAUCGAUGAAGAACGCAGCGAAAUGCGAUACGUAGUGUGAAUUGCAGAUUUUCGUGAAUCAUCGAAUCUUUGAACGCAAAUUGCGGUUUCAGGUAACUCCUGGGACCAUGCCUGGUUGAGUGUCACAAA